UCCAGACUCCUACGGGAGGCAGCAGUGAGGAAUAUUGGUCAAUGGUCGGGAGACUGAACCAGCCGAGCCGCGUGAGGGAGGAAGGUACAGAGUAUCGUAAACCUCUUUUGUCAGGGAACAAAGGCUGGGACGCGUCCCCGGAUGAGUGUACCUGAAGAAAAAGCAUCGGCUAACUCCGUGCCAGCAGCCGCGGUAAUACGGAGGAUGCGAGCGUUAUCCGGAUUUAUUGGGUUUAAAGGGUGCGCAGGCGGUGUGGAAAGACGGGGGAGACGGCAGGACAACCACCCGCCGCCCGCCGUUGAAACUGGCAGUCUCGAGUUGGAGAGAAGUAUGCGGAAUGCGCGGUGUAGCGGUGAAAUGCAUAGAUAUCGCGCAGAACUCCGAUUGCGAAGGCAGCAUGCCGGCUCCACACUGACGCUGAGGCACGAAAGCGUGGGUAUCGAACAGGAUUAGAUGCCCUCGUA
rnacentral:rRNA from 1 species